AAGUGACGGUACCUGCAGAAGAAGCGCCGGCUAACUACGUGCCAGCAGCCGCGGUAAUACGUAGGGCGCAAGCGUUAUCCGGAAUUAUUGGGCGUAAAGAGCUCGUAGGCGGUUUGUCGCGUCUGCCGUGAAAGUCCGGGGCUCAACUCCGGAUCUGCGGUGGGUACGGGCAGACUAGAGUGAUGUAGGGGAGACUGGAAUUCCUGGUGUAGCGGUGAAAUGCGCAGAUAUCAGGAGGAACACCGAUGGCGAAGGCAGGUCUCUGGGCAUUAACUGACGCUGAGGAGCGAAAGCAUGGGGAGCGAACAGGAUUAGAUACCCUGGUAGUCCAUGCCGUAAACGUUGGGCACUAGGUGUGGGGGACAUUCCACGUUUUCCGCGCCGUAGCUAACGCAUUAAGUGCCCCGCCUGGGGAGUACGGCCGCAAGGCUAAAACUCAAAGGAAUUGACGGGGGCCCGCACAAGCGGCGGAGCAUGCGGAUUAAUUCGAUGCAACGCGAAGAACCUUACCAAGGCUUGACAUGAACCGGACCGGGCUGGAAACAGUCUUUCCCCUUGUGGGCUGGUUUACAGGUGGUGCAUGGUUGUCGUCAGCUCGUGUCGUGAGAUGUUGGGUUAAGUCCCGCAACGAGCGCAACCCUCGUUCUAUGUUGCCAGCACGUGAUGGUGGGGACUCAUAGGAGACUGCCGGGGUCAACUCGGAGGAAGGUGGGGACGACGUCAAAUCAUCAUGCCCCUUAUGUCUUGGGCUUCACGCAUGCUACAAUGGCCGGUACAAAGGGUUGCGAUACUGUGAGGUGGAGCUAAUCCCAAAAAGCCGGUCUCAGUUCGGAUUGGGGUCUGCAACUCGACCCCAUGAAGUCGGAGUCGCUAGUAAUCGCAGAUCAGCAACGCUGCGGUGAAUACGUUCCCGGGCCUUGUACACACCGCCCGUCAAGUCACGAAAGUUGGUAACACCCGAAGCCGGUGGCCUAACCCCUUGUGGGAGGGAGCCGUCGAAGGUGGGACUGGCGAUUGGGACUAAGUCGUAACAAGGUAGCCGUACCGGAAGGUGCGGCUGGAUCACCUCCUUUCUAAGGA
rnacentral:rRNA from 2 species